UACGUAGGUGGCAAGCGUUGUCCGGAUUUACUGGGCGUAAAGGAUGCGUAGGCGGACAUUUAAGUCAGAUGUGAAAUACCCGAGCUUAACUUGGGUGCUGCAUUUGAAACUGGGUGCCUAGAGUGCAGGAGAGGUAAGUGGAAUUCCUAGUGUAGCGGUGAAAUGCGUAGAUACUGGGAGGAACACCAGUGGCGAAGGCGGCUACCUGGACCGGUUCUGACGCUGAGGCGCGAAAGCGUGGGUAGCAAACAGG
rnacentral:rRNA from 1 species